rnacentral:rRNA from 1 species
UACGUAGGGGGCAAGCGUUGGUCCGGAAUCAUUGGGCGUAAAGCGCGUGUAGGCGGCCCGGUAAGUCCGCUGUGAAAGUCGGGGGCUCAACCCUCGAAUGCCGGUGGAUACUGUCGGGCUAGAGUGCGGAAGAGGCGAGUGGAAUUCCUGGUGUAGCGGUGAAAUGCGCAGAUAUCAGGAGGAACACCAAUUGCGAAGGCAGCUCGCUGGGACGUGACUGACGCUGAGACGCGAAAGCGUGGGGAGCAAACAGG